rnacentral:misc_RNA from 1 species
GAUGAAGAACGUAGCGAAAUGCGAUACUUGGUGUGAAUUGCAGAAUCCCGUGAACCAUCGAGUCUUUGAACGCAAGUUGCGCCCGAAGCCAUCAGGUUGAGGGCACGUCUGCCUGGGCGUCACAUAUCGUUGCCCAAUGCCUAUUGCAGUGCAAUAGGAAUUUCUAGGGCGAAUGAUGGCUUCCCGUGAGCGUUGUUGCCUCGCGGUUGGUUGAAAAUCGAGUCCUUGGUAGGGUGUGCCAUGGUAGAUGGUGGUCGAGUUAGAACGAUACCGAUCAUGUGCAUGCUCCCCAAAAUAUGGCCUCUAUGACCCACACGCGUCUUUUGACGCUCAUGACGAGACCUCAGGUCAGGCGGGGCUACCCACUGAAUUUAAGCAUAUCAAUAAGCGGAGGA